GCGGCUUCUGGUCCGCCCCACCCUCCAGCGGAAGCCAAUAGCCUGGCAGUGGCGCUGUCUCUCACACGAGGUUUCUUCCCCCAUCGGAGGAUCUUGCAUUUACCACAACCUUCCCCCUUCCCCUUUCUUUCGACAGGUACCACACCGCUGAGGUAACGCCCCUCAAGCAAUUUCUCGUUCUCGUGUAGAAACACAUCCUCUCUGGUCCUCUUCCUCCUGGUCUCCUUCCAGAUCGUUUCCAUUUACCACAGGGGGAAGCCUCUCCCCUUCCUCCCUUCUCUCUCAUCUGUGCCGUCAUGAGCCUCAAACCACUUUCUCAGACUGACAACCCUAGGAGUAGUGAGAAGGAUACCUCACGUGAAAGGUGAAGGAAGAUUUUCACUUUGUGGUGAAAUUAGACAUUAGAAAGAACCAGGUUCAUCAGCCUCCUGAAGUCUUUGAAAAUGCCCAGACGUUACUUUGAGAAAUUCUGUGAAAGCCUCAAUCAAUAUCCUCACCUUCUGUUUUUCUUGUACCAAUAUGCCAGAGGUACAAGCAAGGCAGGAAAUGAAGAGGGCAGACAGAAGAGUCUGAACGGAGAAGGAGCGCUAAGGGGGGUCAGCAAAGAUGUCAUAGAGAAGAGACAUGCACCCAGGCUUCCAUGAAUGGUGACCACCAGGCCUUUGGAGACAACAAGCAAGGCUUUAUUAAGUCUUCUCCUGGAUAAGGAGCUCUAGUUCUUCUGAUGACACUGUUUUCAGCCAUCUUACUCUCCUGGCCUAUAAAUUCUCCAAAUUGUUAAACACAACAUGGGAAUUGGAGGAGAAAAGACUGAGGUUUGAGUGGUGUGUCUACCAAUGAGCUGUAUUUUAUCAACACAGCUGAACUGAAGUUUUUAUUUAGGCAGGGUCCUGCCUGCUCCUAGCAGAGGUGUGGAAUCUGGCUGAAAAAGAACAUUCAGACUCAGAGCCCAAGAUGUCAACUAAGUAGGCAAGUAAGUGGAGACCUUAAUUAGCCAACGACUCAUCCUUUCCUUUCACAAGGAAGCCCCAGAGAGAUGAAUUUACUUGCAAGUUCACUCAGUUUUUUCUAAGAUGAUCUGGGAAGAUUCUUUCUGGACUAGAAGGAGCCCCAUGUCUUCCUUAUUCUGUUUCAGAAUUUGUUCAUUCAGCACACAUACUGUGAAUGUUCUAUGUGCUAGGCAAGCAUUAUGUGGGGGUGGAGGGAGAAAGAAAUGACACAUAGUUCUUUCUAUCAUCCCCAAAGUCCAGUAAGGCAAGUCCUGGCCAGGCGCAGUAGCUCACGCCUAUAAUCCUAGCAC